rnacentral:rRNA from 1 species
GCCGCGGUGAAUACGUUCCCAGGCCUUGUACACACCGCCCGUCACACCAUGGGAGUUGGAUUCACCCGAAGGCGUUGCGCUAACUCGCAAGAGAGGCAGGCGACCACGGUGGGUUUAGCGACUGGGGUGAAGUCGUAACAAGGUAGCCGUAGGGGAACCUGCGGCUGGAUCACCUCCUUUCUAAGG